CUAGCGGCGGACGGGUGAGUAACACGUGGGCAACCUGCCUCAUAGAGGGGAAUAGCCUUCCGAAAGGAAGAUUAAUACCGCAUAACAUUGUUGAAAGGCAUCUUUUAACAAUCAAAGGAGCAAUCCGCUAUGAGAUGGGCCCGCGGCGCAUUAGCUAGUUGGUGAGGUAACGGCUCACCAAGGCGACGAUGCGUAGCCGACCUGAGAGGGUGAUCGGCCACAUUGGAACUGAGACACGGUCCAGACUCCUACGGGAGGCAGCAGUGGGGAAUAUUGCACAAUGGGGGAAACCCUGAUGCAGCAACGCCGCGUGAGUGAUGAAGGUCUUCGGAUUGUAAAGCUCUGUCUUUAGGGACGAUAAUGACGGUACCUAAGGAGGAAGCCACGGCUAACUACGUGCCAGCAGCCGCGGUAAUACGUAGGUGGCAAGCGUUAUCCGGAUUUACUGGGCGUAAAGGGAGCGUAGGCGGAUAUUUAAGUGGGAUGUGAAAUACCCGAGCUUAACUUGGGAGCUGCAUUCCAAACUGGAUAUCUAGAGUGCAGGAGAGGAGAAUGGAAUUCCUAGUGUAGCGGUGAAAUGCGUAGAGAUUAGGAAGAACACCAGUGGCGAAGGCGAUUCUCUGGACUGUAACUGACGCUGAGGCUCGAAAGCGUGGGGAGCAAACAGGAUUAGAUACCCUGGU
rnacentral:rRNA from 1 species